GGGCGGUUAGCUCAGUGGUAGAGCAUCUCUUUGACGUAGAGAGGGUCAUAGGUUCAAAUCCUAUACCGCCCACCA
rnacentral:tRNA from 1 species